rnacentral:rRNA from 2 species
AACUCUGGUAUUGAUUGGUGCUUGCAUCAUGAUUUACAUUUGAGUGAGUGGCGAACUGGUGAGUAACACGUGGGAAACCUGCCCAGAAGCGGGGGAUAACACCUGGAAACAGAUGCUAAUACCGCAUAACAACUUGGACCGCAUGGUCCGAGUUUGAAAGAUGGCUUCGGCUAUCACUUUUGGAUGGUCCCGCGGCGUAUUAGCUAGAUGGUGAGGUAACGGCUCACCAUGGCAAUGAUACGUAGCCGACCUGAGAGGGUAAUCGGCCACAUUGGGACUGAGACACGGCCCAAACUCCUACGGGAGGCAGCAGUAGGGAAUCUUCCACAAUGGACGAAAGUCUGAUGGAGCAACGCCGCGUGAGUGAAGAAGGGUUUCGGCUCGUAAAACUCUGUUGUUAAAGAAGAACAUAUCUGAGAGUAACUGUUCAGGUAUUGACGGUAUUUAACCAGAAAGCCACGGCUAACUACGUGCCAGCAGCCGCGGUAAUACGUAGGUGGCAAGCGUUGUCCGGAUUUAUUGGGCGUAAAGCGAGCGCAGGCGGUUUUUUAAGUCUGAUGUGAAAGCCUUCGGCUCAACCGAAGAAGUGCAUCGGAAACUGGGAAACUUGAGUGCAGAAGAGGACAGUGGAACUCCAUGUGUAGCGGUGAAAUGCGUAGAUAUAUGGAAGAACACCAGUGGCGAAGGCGGCUGUCUGGUCUGUAACUGACGCUGAGGCUCGAAAGUAUGGGUAGCAAACAGGAUUAGAUACCCUGGUAGUCCAUACCGUAAACGAUGAAUGCUAAGUGUUGGAGGGUUUCCGCCCUUCAGUGCUGCAGCUAACGCAUUAAGCAUUCCGCCUGGGGAGUACGGCCGCAAGGCUGAAACUCAAAGGAAUUGACGGGGGCCCGCACAAGCGGUGGAGCAUGUGGUUUAAUUCGAAGCUACGCGAAGAACCUUACCAGGUCUUGACAUACUAUGCAAAUCUAAGAGAUUAGACGUUCCCUUCGGGGACAUGGAUACAGGUGGUGCAUGGUUGUCGUCAGCUCGUGUCGUGAGAUGUUGGGUUAAGUCCCGCAACGAGCGCAACCCUUAUUAUCAGUUGCCAGCAUUAAGUUGGGCACUCUGGUGAGACUGCCGGUGACAAACCGGAGGAAGGUGGGGAUGACGUCAAAUCAUCAUGCCCCUUAUGACCUGGGCUACACACGUGCUACAAUGGAUGGUACAACGAGUUGCGAACUCGCGAGAGUAAGCUAAUCUCUUAAAGCCAUUCUCAGUUCGGAUUGUAGGCUGCAACUCGCCUACAUGAAGUCGGAAUCGCUAGUAAUCGCGGAUCAGCAUGCCGCGGUGAAUACGUUCCCGGGCCUUGUACACACCGC